rnacentral:rRNA from 1 species
UACAGAGGGUGCGAGCGUUAAUCGGAAUUACUGGGCGUAAAGCGCAUGUAGGUGGUUUAGAAAGUUGGGUGUGAAAUCCCCGGGCUUAACCUGGGAAUGGCAUUUGGGACUGCAAGGCUUGAGUGCGGCAGAGGAGACUGGAAUUCCUGGUGUAGCAGUGAAAUGCGUAGAUAUCAGGAGGAACACCGAUGGCGAAGGCAGGUCUCUGGGCUGACACUGACGCUCAUGCACGAAAGCGUGGGGAGCAACAGG